rnacentral:rRNA from 1 species
UAGGGAAUCUUCGGCAAUGGACGAAAGUCUGACCGAGCAACGCCGCGUGAGUGAAGAAGGUUUUCGAAUCGUAAAACUCUGUUGGUAGAGAAGAACGUUGGUGAGAGUGGAAAGCUCAUCAAGUGACGGUAACUACCCAGAAAGGGACGGCUAACUACGUGCCACCAG